GACGUAGGGCGCGAGCGUUGUCCGGAAUCAUUGGGCGUAAAGAGCGUGUAGGCGGCCUCGUAAGUCUGCUGUGAAAGUCCAGGGCUCAACCCUGGGAUGUCAGUGGAUACCUGGUGAGGCUCGAGUCCGGAAGAGGAGUGUGGAAUUCCUGGAUGUAGCGGUGAAAUGCGCAGAUAUACAGGAGGAACACCAAUGGCGAAGGCAGCACUCUGGGACGUGACUGACGCUGAGACGCGAAAGCGUGGGGAGCAAACAGG
rnacentral:rRNA from 1 species